AACAUAGUGUUGUAAAAUGGUGCGGCCCCUUUAAGAGCAGCACGUACGGAGCAGGGGUGAGCGACGGAGUUUUUGUUAAUGUUGUGUGUGGACGUAGCGACCGGAGAAACCCAUGUGCUGUAACCGUGUUACUCAGUGUUCAAUAAAUCCUCAAAGAAAGCAUACAGCGGGCAUUUUAUUCACUAACCGGCAGGAGGAAGGAAAGUGAAGGGUAUUAACCCCAAGUAUUAGCAACGGACAAUACUUGGCCCUGGAGCAGAGAACGAAGUCUCCCCUGCAGUCUCCAACUACGGUCAGAGACGGACUGGCAGGAAAGGUUAACACUGGCGACCACGAAGGGACAUGAAAUACAACGAUAUCCGCUGUGGUAAGCACACUGAGAAAUAACCGAUAAACCGGAGCAGUUAGCAAAACAGUACUGUUUCCUAUUUUAUCUUAACGUUAGCCAAGAUGGCAGCCUCCGGUCAGCGCGUGGCUGAACGUAAACAAAGUGGAGAAGAGACCAGCCACUCCACCAGUCCGAUGUCAUUCACUUCAAUGGAGGAAUUUAAAUUAAAAACAGACUGUUUGCACUUGAGAAACGGAUAUGACUGGCUCGAUAAGCUUUUGUCAUGCGAUGGACAGACCGAUACAUUAACAAGAAAUGCAAGUGAAACAUGUGAUAAGUCCGUCAUGCCACUCAAGUUGUCAGACACUAACCCGUUUAAAGCUGAUGUGGAUAAAGACUUUGGGACUGAUGUGAGAUGUAAAGAACCACGUUCACACAUUCAUAAUCAUAGGGGUGACCCUCCAGCAGUGCCAUUAAUUGCCACUAUUGCAACUCCCAGCACUAACCCAUUUGCCGCUGCCCACUCAGGGAGUUUCAUUCAUAGCACUCCAGUCCCUUGUCAUUCCCCACGCCCCAUGGGCUCACAUUCGCACCGCACUGAUGACAAUUCACUCAAGAAUGUUAAUAAUGUAGAAAUGCCAUCACAGUCCCCUCUCCCCAUCUAUGAGCAGCAUAAGUCACAUGCACGCCGGCCCCAUUCCAAACGCCACCAGGUUUCUUCGGAGAGUGAGGAUGAGUAUGACUCCAGGGAAAGAAUACCCAUCCUGCGUCCCGGCCAGUAUGAUGGCACUACACCUGGAGGGAAUUCUUGCACCGGUUUGAGAGCUGCGCGAAGGCGAACCGCUGGACUGAAGAGACCAAGGGCAUUCAGUUAAAAUUCUGCCUGGUGGGUGCGGCAGGAGCCAUUGUCCACAGGAACCCACGGUCAGUUCAGUGGGAUUACGGCCGCCUGGUGGAGGAAGUCGAAAUUGCCUAUGGUCCAUCCUCAGAACAUGCCGCUGCAGUGGCUGUCGAGUUGAGACAGCGUGUCCGCAAACCAGGUGAAUCUCUCCACCUCUUACGGGAUGACAUAUAUGAAAGAGUGUCUGUGGCCUACAGUGACAGGACUGAAAAAUAGCAAGAUGCCAUAGGUGUAGAGGUUUUCACUCAUGCUAUUGGGGAUACACAGAUUGUACAGAAGUUGUUGGAGAAGCGGCCCCACACACUAGCCCAAGCCUACGACAUUGCCCGCCGUUAUGAAACUACCAAGCGGGCAGCGUCACAGGUAACCAGCUUCGCCAGUAUUCUCCAGUAUUAGCAACGGGCAAUACUUGGCCCUGGAGCAGAGAACGAAGUCUCCCCUGCAGUCUCCAACUACGGUCAGAGACGGACAGGCAGGAAAGGUUAACAAUAGGAAAAAUUUGAAACUGGGCGGAAACACUGUCCAUUUGUCCUGCCUUCUCUGCAGCGGUGAAUCUUCUUGCAACUGGUCAAUAAAAGGACAGCUCUUCCAGGCUGCGCAUAAGGCCACUGAUGAAGCCAACCGAUUGGCAUCAUCUGAGAGAUGUCCUCCUGCAUGCAUUUGUUUGAUUCAGCACUUCUUUGACAACAUUGUCACAGUUUCGCUAAGUGACAGAAGUGUGACAAUCUGGAGUCAUGCUUUUAGCAACAGUCUGUUCAGGACCUGUAGUUUCAGUAGUAAAAUAGUGUCUAGCAGCAUGAGUUGUGUUGCACAGGAUAGGAGAAGCCAAGGAGAGUGAACAGUUUGUAGUUGCCUUUUAAAAAGAAUCUCUCCGUCAGGAAAUCGAACCCUGGUCUUCUGCGUGACAAGCAGAGAUACUGUCCACUAUACUAACGAGGAAAAAAACCAUGGGUGUAAUGUAAGUCGCUUUGGAUAAAAGCAUCUGCUAAAAUGACCUGUAAUGUAAUGACUUGUGAUGGAUAGGAGAAGCCAAGGACAGUGAACAGUUUUUAGUUGCCUUUUAAGAAGAAUGAAGAAACACUUUACAAAUGACAGCAAACGGUUCCAUUGUGAUUAAGUUCUGGUGAAGCUGUCAGAUCAAGGUCUUCUGCAAAGAGCAGAUGCUCAUAUGCCCAAAUAUAAAUGAAGCCGCCGUUUCCGUAGUGAAGUGGAUAUCCUG
ensembl:lncRNA